AGUGCGCCUGACUCAGCGUUGUCUACCGCCAGCAUUUCACUGGAGUACUUCUCUGCCAUGGCUUCAGCUGCGCGCGCAACAGAAGGCAGAUGGGUGUGAGGGGCACGGCUGUGGGCAUGGCAGGGAUAGAACCCUAUCCCAGUGCGCCAUUGCGCGUGGGAGCUCACGCGUGCUCCUUUCCGGCUGUGCUUUGGCACACCGGGUGUCCCACGUGCAGCCCUGGCCACUGCCACGAGUGCCGGCAUGGGUACAGCUGCCAGCCCAUGACCGUGAGGCAUGGCCUCAUCCCCCCGUUCUGGCAGGCACAGGCAGGCUCUUUCAGACCCAACACGGCCGUGCGCCGGCACUGCGAGAAGGGGAGACGAGGCCUGGUGCCAGGCAAGCUGCAGGGCUUCUUACCGCUCAGUGCGCACAGCUGCGGAUGGGUUCGCGACAGUCCUCGACCACGCUGUGGGCUGGGAGGGCACCGGGGGCACUCUCUGCCUUCAGUCUCCUCUCCCAAUCUCUCCCACCUCCUCGCAGUGCCGGUGCUCAGCACCAAGUGCUCUCUGUGCCCAGGGAGCGGUGCUUCUGCUACUCUGCAGGGUGAUUGCGUCACAAUGCUCUGGCUGUGACGCGUGCCCCUCCGCCCACGGGGAAGCGCCGCUCCUCGGCUGGUGUGCAGAGCAUCAGGAGGCGAUCAUAGAAUCAUAGAAUCGCUAAGGUUGGAAAAGACCCACGGGAUCACCCAGUCCAACCAUUCGCCCUUCACCAAUGGUUCUCGCUAAACCGUGUCCCUCAGCACAACAUCCAAACGGUCUUUGAACGCCACCAGGCUCAGUGACUCCACCACCUCUCUGGGCAGCCCAUUCCACUGCCUUUUCCUUAUCCUCAGCGGUCACAUUCGCAGCCUCAUCCAGUAGGGAAUGGAGAUUUUCCCUGGUCCUCCUCUUACUGUUGAUAUACUUGUAAAAGAGUUUCUUGUUCCCUUUUACCUUAGCAGCCAGGUUGAGUUCAAUGGUUGAGAUGGACACCAGGGAAAAGGAGGAUGAGAUAGGUAUGUGAACUGGGGUUUCCAGUGGAGAGGAACAAGAUGAGCUGAAGAGGUGAUUCAAGAUAGCUAGCGUGGCUUUGUUAAGGGCAGAUUGCACCUGACCAAUCUGGUGGCCUUCUGUGAUGGAGUAAUGGCAUCGGUGGACAGGGGAAGGGCAACGCGUGUCAUCUAUCUGGACUUCUGCAAAGCCUUUGACGUGGUCCCUCACCACAUCCUUGUCUCUAAACUGGGGAGGGGUGGAUUUGAAGGAUGGACUGUUCAGUGGGUUAGGAAUUGGCUGAUUGGACGCAGCCAAAGGGUUGUGAUGAAUGGUUCUGUGUCAGGGUGGAGGCUGUGUAUCGAAGUGUGACUACUACGUUUCUUGGGUGACCUGAAACUGACAGAAGGCAGCUGUAUCAACUGUCUCCUAUUCUUAAAAACAAUUACUGGGAUUUUUCAUUGUUCUUGCUGACUGUUCUGUUGAACGUAAAUAAGAUGGAGAUCACUUUUUUUUUUUUUUUUUUUUGCUGUAGCUUCUAAAAAAAUGGUUUUUUGAUUAAAAAAUACUCUAGAAGUAAUGUGUCAUGUUCUGUAGAAUGCUUUCUUUUCCUUGAUAGUGUAUAGAUUGUUGCCUUUUGUCCAAAAUGUGAAAAACAUGCCCACUUGGUACAGGCAAUAAGGGAGGUGAAGUGCUGGAGAGGAAAUUAGUGAAAAACGUAAUGAAUGAGAAAAUGUAAACGUGUUACGUCCUUAAUACAUAAAUAAGCUGCUUAUGUUCCUAAGGCCUUUCGAUCUUAGGAACUAAUGUUUUAACUUCCUGUUUAGUGUUAUGCAAAGGUCAUAUUCAUAUUUCCUUUGUGUAGAAGACACUCUACUUUGCUUGGUAGUAUUUGAUGAAUACAGCACUUAACAUUCCUUACGUGGUGAAGAUAAGAAAGUUGAAAACAGCUCAGAGAAAUGCAGAAUGAUUGCCCUAUAAUGACCACAGCUACGUCACCGGAAUAAAAUGGGUGGUGAUGUUCAGCUAUUGCCCCUGAUGAUCAGGAAAGAAUGGUGCCAUUGGAAAUAUCUGCGCCAGAAAAAACUCUAACAAAUUAAGGGACUACUUUGAAGAAAAAACAACAACAACAACAAAACAAGAAUGUAUAUCAGGGAAAAAAAAAAAACAAAACAAACAAACAAAAAAAACAUGUUAAACUCUGUGACAGUGGAUUUGCUAAUGUGGGAGUUUGGUGUGUGAGAAGAGGCCUCGGCCGGCACCAAGAUCUUUCCCCCUCCCCCCAUCCUGUGGUGGCCACGGGGACCCGAGGCAGCUGCCCGGCCUCUGCUGGAGCUGGGACGGGCACCCCUGGGUGCCAGACCUGCACAGG
ensembl:lncRNA